rfam:Geobacteraceae bacterium GWB2_52_12 GWB2_Geobacter-like_52_12_gwb2_scaffold_4224, whole genome shotgun sequence.
GAUAUAAUAUAUCCAAAACAAAAUAAUUGCGGGGGUCUUUAUCGACCCUCAUCUGCCCUGGUAACGUUCCCUCCUAGUUGCCAGGGUGUUUUU